GUAGGUGAACCUGCGGAAGGAUCAUUACCAUUACCUCAACAGGUGGAUUUCAGCGGUUCUUCGGUUCCACUGACUCCCGCCUGAUUGACGUUACCCAUGCCUUUUUGCGUACAGUUUGUUUUCCCAGCAGGGCAUUCUUGCCCCUACGGGAUAUCAAUCCACCCAUGUAUUUGCAGUCAAUGUCUGAAAAUUAUAAUAAUUACAACUUUUAACAACGGAUCUCUUGGUUCUG
rnacentral:misc_RNA from 1 species